UGAGUGAGGACCAGUAGCAACCGGCGCCGUUUGUUAUGUGCAGGGAAAUUGAAACAAAUACCGCGCAUGAGACAAUGCACCCGUUAAGGAUCGAUUAGUAUGUUGAUGACGCCUGUCAGCGUGUAACUAGCUGCCAAAUGGGGGUAACAUCGCCGUGGAAACUGGUUCACUUGGCCGAUUCGUUUCGAUUGUAUUUUGCUAACUAGUUUCGUGCUGUAUAAAAUUUUGGAGUAAUAGCGGACAAGCAAUUGUUACGUAGCUUACCAACAUCAAAUGCCCUCGGCAAUCCUGCAUCAAACUAUCUGCCCAAGAUGCUGCAGGGGCCCACAGAAAUCGAGUGUUGAUUCAAUUUAGGCUGCUGCCAUUUAGCUUCGCAAACAACAUGCCACAUGUUUCCGGCUAAAUUAAAUAGCAAACCAAAAAUAAUAAACAACGCAAAAACAUGGGUUUCAGGUACGCGUCUCUUAGACACUUUAGUGCAGGUUUACGCGGCCAAUCAUCACUGUUUGUUAGCUUAAGGGGUUUCUAGACGUUUUUAUUUUCCUCGAGGUGUUGACUGAGGUUUCUGGCGGUAUUUCGCACGAGGGAUAUCUGCAAAAGGCUCCCCAAUACGCUAGCGUUGAUGAUUGAAAGGCAAAACUGUCCAGACUGAGAGCCAAGCUGCGCUGUUGAGUAACCGAUUCUGGUUGGUGGAUGAGAAAUGACUGUUGAACCUCGAUUGGGAUGGAUGAACAUUGCGAUUGCAUUAGCGCAAUGUGCGCGGUUACAAAUAAGGAAUAGAUAUAUACAUAUAUGGAUUGAUACAAAAGGAUAGCUUUAAAUUAUCAACAAAAUUACGAACAUAUCAUAAUCAUGAGUAUUUGAAAACUUUAAUGACAUAUCGUUUUAAUAGAUCGCAUUUUUUGAUACAUGUUAUGAUGUUUUCACCCAAACAACAAUAAGCAAAGAAAAUUUUUGCAAUUUACAAUAUAAUUUGUCACUAUUAUUUUUUAUAUUUAAAAGCUAUUAAUGAACAAUUGAUUUCAUAAACAAAUGUUUUUUUUCGUAUUUAGAAUUCAACAAUAAAUCAUAACAUAACUAUCAUAAAAUAAUCAUUUCUGCGACGUGUAGAUUCGAGUCACUAAAACGUCUGCAGAGAAAGGAUGAAAUUCAUAUUAAAUUCAAAGGAUUUAUCAGAAGAAGAGAAAGUUCAAUGGUAUUUUUCAGUUGCACCGUUAUGUUUUGCCUAAAUAAAAGAAAUCCAAAUGUAACAUAGUGAAACAGAAAUUACACCAUACCCACAGUUACCUUACUAAAGCGUUUUUUCUCAUCGUUCCUAAACACUAUUUUAUCUUCUGGAUGGUUAUGUCUGGAAGUACAAGCUAUUCGCUGAAAAUUCUUCGAAACUCUCACGCUAGCCUUGCAGCCAUAACGUUGGCAAAU